CCAGGGGAAAUGAAGGAGUUGCCGAGCAGCCCCCCGCUCUUUCACUAGCCUGCGAUCGGAACGGGCUCGACGGGGCAGGCCUCUGCUACUCCUCCCCGAGAGCCAGCCGAACCCCUCUCCCUCUGCCGCACACUCCAGCUCUCAGGCCGCUCCCGCGCCGCACACCCCCGUCCUUUGCCCCUUUGGGCCGAGCCUCACCCCGCCCGCCGCCGAGGCUCCAGAUGGCUGCUCCUGGCGUGGGGCUCGGGGCCCCCCAGACGCCGCCCAGAAGCAGCCGGCGGUCUCUCCCUCCCUCCCAGCUGCUGCGGCCGCGACGGGGACCGAGCGCGCUGCGACGAGGGCAGGCUCCUCCGCAGGCGCCCCCAGGCUCCGGUCCCGGCGGCCGCGCGCAGCGGGGGGCGCGCCGGAGCCGUGCGCGCGGGGACCGAGCCCUGCAGGCCCAGGAAAUCGAAAAAGAUGGUGAAGGGUCGGGCCAAUAAAUUAGCCUCAGGGAUGGAGAUGCAGACAGACGGAUGGGGUUGUAUGGAUACAGAUACACAAGGAAAACCAAAGCUAUUCAGUCUCCUCAUUUGUCCAGCAGCCUCACAGUGGUGCCCUUUCUCUGCUGCUGCUUUCCCUGCUUCGGGAGCAGCAGUUAUGGUAGAAGCAGAUGGCUACUGAUUGGGGGAGCUUUGUGGCUCUAAUACUGAAUACUUUAUGGAAAAGGACUUUAUCAUG